UUUCAAACCAAACCCUAAUCCUCUUCUAACACACUCACUCACCUCUCACUACCACACACACUCUCACUCCCGUCACACCCUCUUCCUCACAGCACACACACCCAGACCCUAACGGAAAAAAAAAAGAAAGAAAGAAAAAGGAAAGAGAGAAAAGGGGAGACCGCGAGAAGAGAAGGGAGGAGGAAGGCGGGAGCUGUCCACGCCGAGCCACCAUGCGAGGAGAGAGAGAGUCGCACUUCAUCACUGCCGGCCUGGAGCAUGCCGUUCGUGUCCCGUCGCGUCGUCGCCAGCCGCGUCCAGCUCGCUGCAGCUGCGUCACCAUCAGAGGCCAGAACCGAGAGAGGUGCGUCCGAGAGGGGGGACGAGUGCGAGAGAGGAGACGCGGAAGAAGAUUGCCGCUGUUCUGCCUCGCCGCUGUCGAACGGUUACAGCCGCCGCGCCUUGUCUCUGUCGCCGCUAAGCUUCAACCGCCGCCAUCUCUGUUGGGGGUCACCGUCAUUGUUGAAUGAAGAGGGAGAGUUGAGUCGGCCAGUGAAGGGAGGAAGAAAGAGUCGCGAUGGAGGAGUCGUUCACCAUCGUCGCGUCUGCUGUUGCCAUCAACGGAGCUCGUCGUCAGGGGAGCAUCACCAACGUCACCACUAAUGAACCGUCUCCAUCCCUGUUGUGAUCUUGCUCAGCCCUACACCCCCUUCAUUCUUGUCUCUAAAUCAGCACAAUUUUUCCCCUGUUCUGACUCCAUUUAUGAAACUUACUAUCGCCCUAUUUGUUGCGUUUCUGCUGGAAAUUAUCUUGAGUACUGGUAUUAGUGCUAUCAUGGAACGGUUGGAGCUGUUGAUGUUAUGAUUACAUCUGUGAUGUAGCCGUGGAAGUUGCUGCCACCGUCUCGAUCCAAAUUCUAUGCUCAUUCAUUUCAUUUUACUUCAAUCCUCCUCACCUUGGAUUCUGGCACUCCGGGUUCGAUAUCUUCGGUCCCUUAGGACCAUGUUGAACAAAUACUUGAAUGUGUGAGCCUUCUAUUCAAGAGUAAUGAUCUGCAAUUGGUACUUCAUUUUUGUUGAGUUCUUAGACGUCAUAUGCUCCAUAUGUCACAGGCAGGAUCCAUCCAUAUCUAUUUAUUUUACCUUUUAAUAAAAAUAUGAAAUUUUUCGUUUUAGAAACUGUAAAUUUCUUUAAAAUAUUUGUAACUUUCUUAUUUAAUUUAUAUUUGGGUCUGAUAGGCUUGCCAGGGAACUGUUUCCCUGAGCGUCGGUCAUGGUUCAUUUUGGGCCG